GCUAGGUUUGGUGACCCAUGCCUGUAAUCCUAGCGACUCAGGAAUCUGAGGCAGGAGGAUCUCAAGUUCUAGGGCAGCCUCAGCAGCUUAGCAAGGCCCUAAACAACUUAUUGAGACUCUUGUCUCAA
rnacentral:sRNA from 1 species